rnacentral:misc_RNA from 1 species
GUAUAGCCCUGAUUGAACGAUUUGUUUGAGCUCUUUUGAGGUACGAAAAAAGCGAGAAGUGAAAGCAGGAAAUAGC